GGACAGUGGACAGCUCUCAGUGAUGUCUCGGAGAUGAGGCUGCUUUUAGAAUGUUGGAAAUCUCGAAUUUGCUUUAACAGCUGCAACUUUGAAGUGAGGUGAGUGACACUGAUAGGGAAGUGAAUGAGGAACAAAUAAAAAGUGACAGGAAGAGCAAGCUUCUUACUCCUCUGGGCUGGUGAUUUUUCUAGCAUGACCUGCUGACUGAGCCUAACAAAAACAUCCAGCAGAGCAAAAGUGUGGUCUGUACAGUCCUGGUCCCAGCAUCAAAAAGCAGACUAUGGAGGAGAGGAGCCCAAGUCCUAACCAUAAAUGCGCUGACACCUGGCAGAGUAGUACCACAGUGGCCUCCACACAAGAAAAGCGAACAUUAUAUACUGCAAACAUGUGCAAAAAAAGAAAAAAAAAAUGGAAGAGGAUCAAGAAAUCCUGGAGAGGGG
rnacentral:lncRNA from 1 species